AGCAGCAUGGCGCAGUGGUAGCGCGCAGGGCCCAUACUUCCAUGUGUGGAACCCUGAGGUCACUUGACCGAAACAAGUUGCUGCUA